CCCUUAGAUGUCCUGGGCCGCACGCGCGUUACACUGAUGCAUUCAACGAGCAUAUAACCUUGGCCGAGAGGCCUGGGUAAUCUUGUUAACAUGCAUCGUGAUAGGGAUAGAUUAUUGCAAUUAUUAAUCUUGAACGAGGAAUUCCUAGUAAUCGCAGUUCAUCAAACUGCAAUGAUUACGUCCCUGCCCUUUGUACACACCGCCCGUCGCACCUACCGAUUGAAUGGUCCGGUGAGGACUCGGGAUUGUGGUUUAGCUCCUUCAUUGGGGCCUGACUGCGAGAACUUGUCCGAACCUUAUCAUUUAGAGGAAGGUGAANUCGUAACA
rnacentral:rRNA from 1 species